AAGAUCAUACUUCAUAGGAUCAUUUCUAUAGUAUGAUUAGAGGUUCACUCACCGAACCUCGCAGAAAACCCAACCACGAUGAUGUGAGAUGGGGUUUCUUCCUGAGCGUGAAAGUGGCUCUUUGGUGCUCUUCGGAGUGUCGAGCAGCCGUUGAUGAUCGCACUCUCUGGCCAUUGCGGCUGGGAGAUGGAAGGAACUCGAUCUGAGUGGU